CUAAGUUAUAGGCGAAGGGGACUGUGCGAGGAAUAAAUGCAGUGCCUCGGCUUGACACUUCCGACAGGGUCAAGUUUUCCCUGCACCGUAAUGAGGUCUUGUUAGGAAAGUGGGAGCGACAAAAUGGUCUAGAAGGGGAGGGGUGAACACAGCUGGAUGUGCUGAGGCUCUUCUGGACGAGCAAAGAUAGAGUUGCUGUACCUUGCUUGUGCGAAGCUGAAGUUCAUCAUUUCUCAAGGAGUCAUCUUUUAGUCUCACCUCUUCUGCAAAGCCUGAGUACUGGCAUUUCUUGGCAAAAAUCCUCGCUGAUCUGCUUGAGCCCUUGUGGAGGGAUGGGAAGCAUCCUAUGAGACUUGUGGGUUCCCACAGCUGGUAUCGGAGCCAGUGCUCAGUCAAG